rnacentral:rRNA from 1 species
CUCAGAUUGAACGCUGGCGGCAGGCCUAACACAUGCAAGUCGAGCGGUAGAGAGAAGCUUGCUUCUCUUGAGAGCGGCGGACGGGUGAGUAAUACCUAGGAAUCUGCCUGAUAGUGGGGGAUAACGUUCGGAAACGGACGCUAAUACCGCAUACGUCCUACGGGAGAAAGCAGGGGACCUUCGGGCCUUGCGCUAUCAGAUGAGCCUAGGUCGGAUUAGCUAGUUGGUGAGGUAAUGGCUCACCAAGGCUACGAUCCGUAACUGGUCUGAGAGGAUGAUCAGUCACACUGGAACUGAGACACGGUCCAGACUCCUACGGGAGGCAGCAGUGGGGAAUAUUGGACAAUGGGCGAAAGCCUGAUCCAGCCAUGCCGCGUGUGUGAAGAAGGUCUUCGGAUUGUAAAGCACUUUAAGUUGGGAGGAAGGGCAUUAACCUAAUACGUUGGUGUCUGACGUACCGACAG